UACGUAGGUGGCAAGCGUUGUCCGGAAUCACUGGGCGUAAAGCGCGCGCAGGCGGCGAUCUACGUCUGGGGUGAAAGCCCGGAGCUCAACUCCGGGACUGCCUUGGAUACGGGAUCGCUUGAGGAUUGGAGAGGCAAGGGGAAUUCCACGUGUAGCGGUGAAAUGCGUAGAUAUGUGGAGGAACACCUGUGGCGAAGGCGCCUUGCUGGCCAAUUUCUGACGCUGAGGCGCGAAAGCGUGGGGAGCAAUCAGG
rnacentral:rRNA from 1 species